GAUGAACGCUGGCGGCGUGCCUAACACAUGCAAGUCGAGCGAUCUCUUCGGAGAGAGCGGCGGACGGGUGAGUAACGCGUGGGUAACCUGCCCUGUACACACGGAUAACAUACCGAAAGGUAUACUAAUACGGGAUAACAUACGAAAGUCGCAUGGCUUUUGUACCAAAGCUCCGGCGGUACAGGAUGGACCCGCGUCUGAUUAGCUAGUUGGUAAGGUAACGGCUUACCAAGGCGACGAUCAGUAGCCGACCUGAGAGGGCGAUCGGCCACAUUGGAACUGAGACACGGUCCAAACUCCUACGGGAGGCAGCAGUGGGGAAUAUUGCACAAUGGGCGAAAGCCUGAUGCAGCAACGCCGCGUGAGCGAUGAAGGCCUUCGGGUCGUAAAGCUCUGUCCUCAAGGAAGAUAAUGACGGUACUUGAGGAGGAAGCCCCGGCUAACUACGUGCCAGCCGCCGCAGUAA
rnacentral:rRNA from 1 species